UACGGGGGGGAGCAAGCGUUGUUCGGAUUUACUGGGCGUAAAGGGCGCGUAGGCGGCCACCGCAAGUCAGUUGUGAAAGCUCUGGGCUUAACCCAGAAAGGUCAGCUGAUACUGCGGGGCUAGAGUGCAGAAGGGGCAACUGGAAUUCUCGGUGUAGCGGUGAAAUGCGUAGAUAUCGAGAGGAACACCUGCGGCGAAGGCGGGUUGCUGGGCUGACACUGACGCUGGACAGCGCGAAAGCUAGGGGAGCGAACGGG
rnacentral:rRNA from 1 species